GCCUGGGUGGCUCAGCGGUUGAGCAUCUGCUUUCGGCUCAGGGUGUGACCUGGGGGUCCCGGGUUCGAGUCCCGCAUCAGGCU
rnacentral:tRNA from 1 species